AUUUCCUCUUCCCUGGUUUAAGCUAUUUCCAGGAGAAAGAGAACCUUCUGGGGGCGCUGGGACCUGGAGACCUCUCAGCAUACGGGAAGUGCUCUGGAGUACUUGGAUCCAAGCCAUUUGUUUCUAGAGCGAAGCACGUUGGGUAGGAGCUUGCUUUUUCCAUUUGCAAUGGCUUAUUAAGUAUAAGCAUCUCUCUUCUCUCUGUUUACUGAGUGAUUAGGUCUCCCUCCAACUGACCCUGCCAGGGGAGAUAGCCAAAGUGGAUCCUUAACACACAGUUACCCUGCAAAAUGUCCUUGCCAUAAACCCUGAGACCACAGACGGGGCUCUGUGGCUCCUUUUGGUUCCUGGUUUUACAGUCAGCAGCGAGGGCCCCACAGACAGGGGCUGUGCACUAAUGCCACCCAUGUGCACAUGCUCUCUUCUAGUCACACCGCAGCAAGGGAUGCGUCCUCUGCACAAGGCCCAGUUGCUGUCCCUGGCCCUUUUCUAAGCAGUACGAUCACCAGUCCUGCUGAUGACUGUUCUUUCUGUCCUUCUUGGACAAGAUAAAGAUGGGGGGGGGGGAAGACAAGACUCCUUCACCCACCAAGAUGCAGACACGAAAACUCCGAGAACUAGUAAGCAGUAAAGAUUAACCAGACGCUGGCUGAUCAGUAGCUGGUUGCCUGGCUCAGAUGGCUGGUUGCUGGUAGAUGGACUUGGUAAGAAGCUUGACUGGCUGUGGUGGCGAAGCCAGCCUCCAUCAGGCAGAUCCCAAAGGUCAGAGUGG
rnacentral:lncRNA from 1 species